GCCGGGAUAGCUCAGCUGGGAGAGCAACAGACUGAAGCUCAGUGGCAUUCUGGAGGUCCCGUGUUCAAUCCACGGUCCUGGCA